AUGGAUAGCAAAGGGACUAUAACCAUUGAACAGCUCCUUGAUGAUGUUGAAGACCAGGAUGAUCUUCAGAAAGAGUUUGGAGAAUUAAAUAUUGAAGACUAAGGAGUCAAUGAUGAACAAUGACAUAAAUCUGGGUUUAGGAGUCGCAGG